rnacentral:rRNA from 1 species
UACGUAGGGGGCAAGCGUUGUCCGGAUUUAUUGGGCGUAAAGAGCGUGUAGGCGGCCAGGUAGGUCAGCUGUGAAAACUCGAGGCUUAACCUCGAGAUGUCGGCUGAAACCAUCUGGCUAGAGUCCGGAAGAGGAGAGUGGAAUUCCUGGUGUAGCGGUGAAAUGCGCAGAUAUCAGGAAGAACACCCGUGGCGAAGGCGGCUCUCUGGUACGUGACUGACGCUGAGACGCGAAAGCGUGGGAGCAAACAGG